CAGAAGAACAUCACAAUGUCCCACAGGAGGAUCAGCUUGUGAAACCAGGUGAAGAUCUGAACAUUAUAUAUGUUACAGAGACAUAUGUGGGGGGUGACGAGCAGAGUUCAGAGGACAUUCCUAAAGAUAACUGUCCAGAUGACUAUAUCAGAAGCUUAAAGGCACUUCAGAUACCUAAAGAUCUCACUGCAAAUGAUCAUGCUGUGAUACAAGAUACUGAUGAAGAGAAGACUGUUCUCCCAGAUAUACCCUCAGCCUUGCAAAGGAAUGAUCAAUCAUCUGAUCUUUUUCAAUGCGCCCUACCUUUUGAUUUAUCACAGACUGUUAAGCAAACUAAAGAACCCAGAAAGAGUGAACACCCAAGAACUCCCACAGGGGAGAAGCCAUUUUCAUGUUCAGAAUGUGGCAGAAGUUACAUCUUUAAAUCAUAUCUUGUUAGACAUCAGAGAAUUCACAUGGAAGUGAA